GACGAACGCUGGCGGCGUGCCUAACACAUGCAAGUCGAGCGGGGUCCAUCCAGUGGCAACACUGGGGAAGACCUAGCGGCGAACGGGUGAGUAACACGUGAGGAACCUGCCCCCGAAGACCGGGGAUAACCCCGAGGAAACUCGAGCUAAUACCGGAUACCCCCACGAGAUCGCAUGGUCUUGUGAGGAAAUGUCUUUUCGCUUCGGGGAGGGCCUCGCGGCCUAUCAGCUAGUUGGGCGGGGUAACGGCCCACCAAGGCAUCGGACGGGUAGCUGGUCUGAGAGGACGAUCAGCCACACGUGGGACUGAGACACGGCCCAGACUCCGUACGGGGAGGCAGCAGGUGGGGAAUCUUGCGCAAGUGGGCGAAAGCCUGACGCAGCAACGCCGC
rnacentral:rRNA from 1 species